rnacentral:rRNA from 1 species
UACGUAGGUGGCAAGCGUUGUCCGGAAUUAUUGGGCGUAAAGAGCUCGUAGGCGGUUUGUUGCGUCGGCUGUGAAAUCCCGAGGCUCAACCUCGGGUCUGCAGUCGAUACGAGCAAACUAGAGUGUUGCAGGGGAGACUGGAAUUCCUGGUGUAGCGGUGAAAUGCGCAGAUAUCAGGAGGAACACCGGUGGCGAAGGCGGGUCUCUGGGCAACAACUGACGCUGGAGGAG